CUGCUGCCUUCCGUAGGAGUUUGGGCCGUGUCUCAGUCCCAAUGUGGCCGUUCACCCUCUCAGGCCGGGCUACUGAUCGUUGCCUUGGUAGGCCAUUACCCCACCAACUAGCUAAUCAGACGCGGAACCAUCGUAUACCACCAGAGUUUUUCACACCGCUUCAUGCGAAGCUGUGCGCUUAUGCGGUAUUAGCACCUAUUUCUAAGUGUUAUCCCCCAGUAUACGGCAGGUUUUCCACGCGUUACUCACCCGUCCGCCA
rnacentral:rRNA from 1 species